rnacentral:rRNA from 1 species
GAUGAACGCUGGCGGCGUGCUUAACACAUGCAAGUCGAACGGUGAAGCAGGAGCUUGCUCCUGUGGAUCAGUGGCGAACGGGUGAGUAACACGUGAGCAAUCUGCCCUGGACUCUGGGAUAAGCGUUGGAAACGACGUCUAAUACCGGAUACGAGGCGUGGGGGCAUCCCCAACGCCUGGAAAGAACUUCGGUCCAGGAUGAGCUCGCGGCCUAUCAGGUAGUUGGUGAGGUAACGGCUCACCAAGCCUACGACGGGUAGCCGGCCUGAGAGGGGAACCGGCCACACUGGGACUGAGACACGGCCCAGACUCCUACGGGAGGCAGCAGUGGGGAAUAUUGCACAAUGGGCGCAAGCCUGAUGCAGCAACGCCGCGUGAGGGACGACGGCCUUCGGGUUGUAAACCUCUUUUAGCAGGGAAGAAGCGAAAGUGACGGUACCUGCAGAAAAAGCACCGGCUAACUACGUGCCAGCCGCCGCCGUAAUAC